GCCAGUGUUGCUCAGUGGUUAGAGCGUCGACCUAGGAGCCAGGAGGUCCCGGGUUUGAUUCCCGGACAAGGGCA
rfam:Myotis davidii contig11218, whole genome shotgun sequence.